CACCAAUCUCACGGUUUCAAUGAAUGCACUUUCAUCAGGCCUGCAGGACACAGCUGGCCAACAGGGAGCAAAGAUGCAAGAGCUGGAAACUGCAGUGAACAACAUGUCAUCCACUUUAGACUCAGUUGCAUCCAAAAUGCAGGAAACUGUUGGUCAACAAGAAGGAAGGUUGAUGAAUCUGGAGACUAAAGCAGAUAAUAUGGCUUCCUCUUUAAAUUCACUGACAUCUAAACUACAGCAA